AAAACACCAGUUCCCAAAUGAUCACCAAAGUUAAGCAAUGUUGAGCCUGGUCAGUACCUAGAUUGGUCACUGCUUGGAAAUACCAGGUACUGUA